GAUUGCUUAGUUUAAAAAAAAUAGGUGUUUUGAAAGCACCGGAUAAGAUAUAUUUCUUAGUAAUCU
rnacentral:tRNA from 1 species